GACUGCCAUCAGGGAUUCAUUCUGUGAACCCUGACCAACGGCCAGAUAAGAAUUCAUGCCCAGCUCUUUCAUCUGUUCUUCGCCGAUAACCUUGGUUGUCAGAUUCUCGGCAUUAUCAGCGAGCUGGCGUGCCUGUGAUGCUAAAUAGGCGGCGUUACAGAUAUUAGGUGGCAUGUUGGCCAGAUCUUUCGU
rnacentral:antisense_RNA from 1 species